rnacentral:rRNA from 1 species
UACAGAGGUCUCAAGCGUUGUUCGGAUUCAUUGGGCGUAAAGGGCGCGUAGGCGGUUCGGCAAGUCUCUAGUGAAAUCUCUGGGCUCAACUCAGAGUCUGCUGGGGAAACUGCCGGGCUUGAGUGUGGGAGAGGAGAGUGGAAUUCCCGGUGUAGCGGUGAAAAUGCGUAGAUAUCAGGAGGGAACACCGGUGGGCGAAGGCGGGGUCUCUGGGCCGGUUACUGACGCUGGAGGAGCGAAAGCGUGGGGAGCGAACAGG